GGAUGGAUCAUUAAGAGGUUAUCAUUCUUUGAUAACCUCUUAAUGAUCCAUCCGCAGGUUCACUCUAGGUGAACCUGCGGAUGGAUCAUUAAGAGGUUAUCAUUCUUUGAUAUACCACUGUGGUGUAAUGUGUGUCGAAUUGGCGGCGAUGUUGUGUGUGUGCCCUUGGGCAUGUGCAUGCGCGCCGCCAGCAACAAACCCUAUUUUAAACUACUAGUUGUCUGAUUACUCUCUGUAAAGAAACAAUCUUAUACAACUGCUAGCAACGGAUCACUCGGCUCUCGCGUCGAUGAAGAACGUAGCAAAGUGCGAAAAUUAAUGCAACACGCAACACGUGAGUCAUCGAGUCUUUGAACGCAUAUUGCACCCGACAGGCUCGCUUGUCGGGUCUGCCUGUUUGAGUAUCAGAUCGGACCCAGCAGCCGACGACGGGGGCGUGGAACAGGGUUUUGCGACUCUGCUUUGCGCAUCCGCGUCGACUAGCCGGUGCUCGCUGCGCAGCAAUGUGCGGCGGAAAUGGGGUUUUGGUGGCGCGCUCGCGCAACCCCAUUCCCUGAAAUGUAUUGGCCGACCGGCGCAUCCUCGAUGUCGCUGCGCUUGGACUGCGGGCCGUUUAGCAAUGUUAAUCAUCCGCAAGGGUGUCUUUGUUAAGUUGCCGGGUUAUUCAACGAGCGUGGCGCGAUGUCCAAACCGACCACCCUUGCAAAUGCACGAAAGUGUGUGCGCAAACCGCAGCGCGGGAAACCGCGUUUGCACCCACCAACUUGAUCUCAAAUCAGGCAGGAUGACCCGCUGAAUUUAAGCAUAUCAGUAAGCGGAGGAAAAGAAACUAACCAGGAUUCCCUUAGUAACGGCGAGUGAAGCGGGAAAAGCCCAAUCUGAGAAGCUGGUCGGCCCCUGCGCCGGUCCCGCGUUGUAGAUUGAUGGGGCGUUGCCUAGCGGCAGACCUUUCGGCCAAAGUCUCUUGGAACAGAGCGUCAUAGAGGGUGACAACCCCGUGUGUGGCCGGACGACAUUACAGUCUGUCGCGUCGAUGGCGCGUUUCCUUAGAGUCGGAAUGUUUGGGAUUGCAUUCCAAAGCGGGUGGUAAACUCCAUCUAAGGCUAAAUACUGGCGAGAGACCGAUAGCGAACAAGUACCGUGAGGGAAAGUUGAAAAGCACUCUGGAGAGAGAGUCAAACAGUACGUGAAAUUGCUAGCAGGGAAACGUUGGGCACCAGUACGCGGCAAUCAAUGUCGAUGAUCAGUCGGCCGGCGCGGCGGCUAUUGCGCGGAGCUUCCGCUUCAGAGACAGCCCCAGGGCUGCUCACGCGUAGUAGCCGGCCGUGCGGGCCGGUGCACUCUUCGACAGCCGGGUCAACAUCGGUUGCUGGCGUCCGACAAGCAGCACGGCAAGGUAGCAGGGGUGGCGGUUUUUACGGCCGUUAUUCUGAACUUAUAGGCCGGGCAGAGCGAGGACGGCGGCGACCGAGGAGGCAUUGCGGCUCGCGCGCCUUUCGGGGUGCAGGGCGUGCCGGCAGGGUUUUGGUUGCCCGUGGCGCUGGACAGCUUGCUGACCAGGGUUUACUUUGGUGCGCUUCGGCGCAUCAGCGGCGGCCGCCUUGUCGGUACAAGCCACUAGCGAGUCCAUGACGGUUGACGAAAUGGUUCUCAACGACCCGUCUUGAAACACGGACCAAGGAGUCUAACAUGUCUGCGAGUGUUUGGGUGGAAAACCCGAACGCGGAAUGAAAGUGACGAGGUGUGGCUGCGUGCCCACCCGCUGGUAGGAACCGGAACGCUUCGGCGCGCCGGUGCACUACCGACCGACCUGUUGCCCUCUGUGGCGGUAGGUUUGAGUUGGAGCAGUCCUGUUAGGACCCGAAAGAUGGUGAACUAUGCCUGAGCAGGAUGAAGCCAGAGGAAACUCUGGUGGAGGUCCGUAGCGGUUCUGACGUGCAAAUCGAUCGUCGGACUUGGGUAUAGGGGCGAAAGACUAAUCGAACCAUCUAGUAGCUGGUUCCUGC
rnacentral:misc_RNA from 1 species